UGGUGGCCAGUCCGAUCCUGAGCUACAGCUGUUCUCUCAGAAUGCCUCUUCUAUGAGAUGUCAGCUUUGCCUAGACACCAUAUGGGAGGGGCAGUGAUGCCGUGGAUGGUGACGGGAAGAGGAAAGUCUCUGCUCCUCAGGCUUCUUCAGCAAUUCCUGGACCCAAGGCAAUGUGAAGCAGGGACUCUGUCUCUUGCCACCAGCUAGCUUCCUAGGGCAGACCUCCGGCUUCUGGAACUUCAAGGAUUUGACUUGACUACAGGAACCCAAGUCCUAGCAAAGGCGAAGUUGCCGUUACUGUCUUACACACUGCUCUGGACAUUCUCUUCCUAACGCCAGUCUUGCUACUUACCCCCAGCUGUCUGCAGGGCAAGAGGACACAAGCUCCCCCUCUGGCUGGCACCAGGCUUUUCCUUCUCCCAUGAAGACUUCUAGGGAAAUUUCAAUUUCUUGGGCCCAUUUUUCAAUAGUCACAUGGAGUGUACGAGUUCUCUCUUGAACGCCUUCAAUCCUGCCAGGACAGUUACAUCCAGACCUGUCAUUUUCACAGUUCUGUGGGCCCUGAGUCAAGAGGAUAAAGGUACCAAGAUAAGAGACAUCUGAUGCUGGCUUUCAGGGCUGCUCUAGCCUUCCCUAAUGGAGUAGAGAGUCUAUAACCAUCAUCUUAAACCAACAGUCACCUGGAUUUUAGGAAUAGCAGCUUUCCAAACAUUACCCCAUCAUGUGAUCACCUUCCAAGCAAGAGUAAUGCUCCCAUGGGAACCAGCUUGUCCCCUCACUCAACAAGGACUCUGUAGACCAACACAGAAGAAAUGACAGACAGACCACACUGUGGCCGGGACUGCUUGGUCAUGCUUGCCUCUAACCCCCAAUUCUUCUGUAUUUCGGGGUGAAGCUCAUCUCAUCACUCAAACAUGGGCUGACACUCAACUGUUGUCUUUCUGUUGUAGUUGUAUUGAGUCAAAGCCUCUCCCGGCUUUCAUCACUGACUUUUGCUUCCUCACUUUGGGGUGGGUGUUUGGA